GUUGCCUCUAUUUUCCUUACUGCUGCGCUAGGCAUUCCUGAAGGUCUUAUCCCAGUUCAACUCUUGUGGGUCAACCUGGUCACUGAUGGACCCCCUGCUACAGCAUUGGGAUUUAAUCCACCAGACAAGGAUAUAAUGAAGAAACCACCAAGGAGAAGCGAUGACUCAUUGAUCAGUGCCUGGAUUUUAUUUCGCUAUCUGGUUGUGACAAGGAUAUAAUGAGGAAACCACCAAGGAGAAGCGAUGACUCAUUGAUCAGUGCCUGGAUUUUAUUUCGCUAUCUGGUUGGCUUUACAUUUUUCAUUAUUUGUUUACUUUUAGUUUUAUUUCCCAGUUCCUGCUUUUGUAUGUGGGAAUGAAAUCCUUGUGCUUAUCAUUUCUAAAUGCUUGAUGCAGGUGAUUGGAUUGUAUGUUGGAGUUGCUACUGUGGGAGUUUUUAUCAUCUGGUUCACACAUGACUCUUUUCUUGGCAUCGAUCUAAGUGGAGAUGGCCACAGUCUCGUUACCUACUCCCAGCUUGCUAAUUGGGGUCAGUGCAAAACCUGGGAUAAUUUCACCGCCUCACC
rnacentral:lncRNA from 1 species